rnacentral:sRNA from 1 species
GAUUAGCCCCGAUCGAAAUGGCAUCCUUUUGUGGUGGGGUUCACCACAAAAGAUAUAAUGUAGAGCGGGACAAAAC